rnacentral:rRNA from 1 species
GUUCAGGCGAAGUCAUUGAUCCUAUGCUGCCUAGAAAAGCCCAGCAGCGAGUUGACAUGGUGCCCGUACCCCAAACCAACACAGGUGGACAGGUAGAGCAUACCAAGGCGAGUGGGAUAACUAUGGUUAAGGAACUCGGCAAAUUGCCUCCGUAACUUCGGGAGAAGGAGGACCCCAGUAGCGUGAUGAGACUUGCUCUCUGAGCGUGAAGGGGUGGCACAAAAUUGAGGGAAGCGACUGUUUACCAAAAACACAGCAGCGUGCUAAGCCGUAAGGCGCUGUAUACGCUGUGACUCCUGCCCGGUGCUGGAAGGUUACGGGGAUGGGUUAGUCCUUCGGGACGAAGCUCUGAACCUAAGCCCCAGUAAACGGCGGCCGUAACUAUAACGGUCCUAAGGUAGCGAAAUUCCUUGUCGGGUAAGUUCCGACCUGCACGAAUGGAGUAACGACUUCCCUACUGUCUCAACCAUAGACCCAGCGAAAUUGAAGUACGAGUAAAGAUGCUCGUUAGCUGCAGAAGGACGGAAGGACCCCGUGGACCUUUACUAUAACUUGAUGUUGUGUUUUGUCAUAUGUUGUGUAGGAUAGGUGGGAGACUUGGAAGCAUGGACGCUAGUCUGUGUGGAGUCAUCGAUGAAAUACCACCCUGCAUAUGGUGAGGCUCUAACCUAGACCCGUUAUCCGGGUUGGGGACAGCGUCAGGCGGGUAGUUUAACUGGGGCGGUUGCCUCCUAAAGAGUAACGGAGGCGCCCAAAGGUUCCCUCAGCCUGGUUGGCAAUCAGGCGUUGAGUGCAAUGGCAAAAGGAAGCUUGACUGCGAGACCUACAAGUCGAGCAGGAGCGAAAGCUGGGCAUAGUGAUCCGGCGGUUGCGUGUGGAAGCGCCGUCGCUCAACGGAUAAAAGGUACCCCGGGGAUAACAGGCUAAUCUUGCCCAAGCGUCCAUAGCGACGGCAAGGUUUGGCACCUCGAUGUCGGCUCAUCGCAUCCUGGGGCUGAAGCAGGUCCCAAGGGUUGGGCUGUUCGCCCAUUAAAGCGGUACGCGAGCUGGGUUCAGAACGUCGUGAGACAGUUCGGUCCCUAUCCUCUGCAGCCGGAGGUGAAUUGAGGAAAGCUGUCCCUAGUACGAGAGGACCGGGACGGACGCAGCUCUCGUGUGCCAGUUGUCCUGCCAAGGGCAUGGCUGGUUAGCGACCUGCGGAAAGGAUAACCGCUGAAAGCAUCUAAGCGGGAAGCCUCUUCCAAGAUGAAUUCACCCACAGGGUUAACCUGGUAAGGCCCGUGGUAGACCACCACGUUGAUAGGCCGGAAGUGUAAGCGUGGCAACACGUUCAGCUGACCGGUACUAAUCGGCCGAGGGCUUGAGCU